AGAGGACCUCUGGAUGCUGCAAAAGGAAAGGAAAUAGAUUACCUCUUAGAACUUCUAGAAGGAAAGCAACUCUGCUGACACUUUGCAUUGAACUGCAGUUACUAUCAACAGGACUCCUAGCAGUAGAAUGAAGCCAACCUGCAAAAUUGACCUGUCAUGCCCUGCCUCACCACCUUAUCCAGUCCUGGACUCAACGAGCUGAACAAAUCCCUAAAUCACCAAGUCUACCUUAGAAAAACAGGAAGCCAAGUUUCUGUCAGCAUCCCAUCCUCAUUUCCAAACUGUGAAUAAUUGUGAAGGGCCUGAGAUUUUACUCUACCUGCAAGUUAACCAGCUAGGCUGCCACAGUUUCAUGGAUGCUGGCAGAAGACGUGAGACUCCUGGGUCAGAGAAAGAGAACUUCACUGACUCACACAACUAUUGCACCUGACCAAGAGUAUCAGCAUUAUCUUGCACUGGUUCACUGGGUCACACACAGCAACGUGAAAAUAAAUAAACUACACUUGCACACA